rnacentral:rRNA from 1 species
AGCGAACGCUGGCGGCAGGCCUAACACAUGCAAGUCGAACGAAGCCUUCGGGCUUAGUGGCGGACGGGUGAGUAACACGUGGGAACGUGCCCUUUGGUUCGGAACAACUCAGGGAAACUUGAGCUAAUACCGGAUGUGCCCUUCGGGGGAAAGAUUUAUCGCCAUUGGAGCGGCCCGCGUCUGAUUAGCUAGUUGGUGAGGUAAAGGCUCACCAAGGCUACGAUCAGUAGCUGGUCUGAGAGGAUGAUCAGCCACAUUGGGACUGAGACACGGCCCAAACUCCUACGGGAGGCAGCAGUGGGGAAUCUUGCGCAAUGGGCGAAAGCCUGACGCAGCCAUGCCGCGUGAAUGAUGAAGGUCUUAGGAUUGUAAAAUUCCUUCACCGGGGACGAUAAUGACGGUACCCGGAGAAGAAGCCCCGGCUAACUUCGUGCCAGCCGCCGCAUAACAC